rnacentral:rRNA from 1 species
UUGGGCUAUAUGGUAUCAGCUUGUUGGUGAGGUAACGGCUCACCAAGGCUAUGACGCCUAACUGGUCUGAGAGGAUGAUCAGUCACACUGGAACUGAGACACGGUCCAGACUCCUACGGGAGGCAGCAGUGGGGAAUAUUACACAAUGGAGGAAACUCUGAUGUAGCAACGCCGCGUGGAGGAUGACACAUUUCGGUGCGUAAACUCCUUUUAUAUGGGAAGAUAAUGACGGUACCAUAUGAAUAAGCACCGGCUAACUCCGUGCCAGCAGCCGCGGUAAUACGGAGGGUGCAAGCGUUACUCGGAAUCACUGGGCGUAAAGCGCAUGUAGGCGGUCUUGUAAGUUGGGUGUGAAAGCCUAUGGCUCAACCAUAGAACUGCACCCAAAACUACUAGACUAGAGUCUGGGAGAGGAAAAUGGAAUUAGUUGUGUAGGGUAAAAUCCGUAGAGAUAACUAAGAAUACCAAAAGCGAAGGCAAUUUUCUGGAACAGUACUGACGCUCAGAUGCAAAGCGUGGGUAGCAAACAGGAUUAGAUACCCUGGUAGUCCACGCCCUAAACGAUGAAUGUUAGUCGUCGGGAGGCUCGUCUUUCGGUGAUGCAGCUAACGCAUACAUUCGCUGGGAGUNCGUCGCAGAUAAACUCAAAGAAUAGACGGGGACCCGCACAAGUGUGAGCAUGUGCUAAUUCGAAGAUACGCGAAGAACCUACUAGCUGACAUUGAUAGAAUCCGAUGAAACAUGGUGUGCCAGUUUACUGGAGCUGAAAACAGGUGCUGCACGGCUGUCGUCAGCUCGUGUCGUGAGAUGUUGGGUUAAGUCCCGCAACGAGCGCAACCCUCGUCCUUAGUUACUAACGGUUCGGCCGAGGACUCUAAGGAGACUGCCUUCGUAAGGAGGAGGAAGGUGAGGACGACGUCAAGUCAUCAUGGCCCUUACGGCUAGGGCGACACACGUGCUACAAUGGAUAGGACAAUGAGACGCAAUACCGCGAGGUGGAGCAAAUCUAUAAACCUAUUCUCAGUUCGGAUUGUAGUCUGCAACUCGACUACAUGAAGCUGGAAUCACUAGUAAUCGUAGAUCAGCCAUGCUACGGUGAAUACGUUCCCGGGUCUUGUACUCACCGCCCGUCACACCAUGGGAGUUGAUUUCACCCGAAUGCGGGGA